rnacentral:misc_RNA from 1 species
AAGUCGUAACAAGGUUUCCGUAGGUGAACCUGCGGAAGGAUCAUUAAAGUAUUCUUAUAUGUGUCUAAACAACACAUGUAUUUACUCUGUGAACUUGGUUAAAUAUAAGACCAAACAUCAGUAGAUGUUGGUCGAAUAUAUUACUCUUUAUUCUUGAUGACAUUAUUAUAUUUUUAAUAUAAAUACAACUUUUAACAAUGGAUCUCUUGGCUCCU